GACCAGCUGGACUCUGCAUGCAGUCAACUAAUGCAGGCAUCCAUCAAAGCAGAGCCUGCUUAAUGCAGGGAAAGGAAGGCUGGGGAAAAAGGAGCCCUGGGCCCUUCCCCAACCGCAGCCGGGCUAGGAGAGGAGCUCAAGGCAAAAUGCAAACUACAGCCCUGCACUCCUCCCUCCCCUCCGAGGACCAGACUGUCUCCAACAAGCAGCUGGCUGACAGCUACGGAAGAGUGUCUGCCAUACCUGGCAAUGUCAAGAAUGGAACACAAGGUAUUUUACACAGGCUAAGGAGAUUUCCCAUGAAAACGGCCGUUUAUACUGAAGUGUAUUUAACACACACAUGCAAGUCUGAAAGAGGUGAGCAAUGAUUUCUACUGGACCCGUGCAGAUGAAGACAAACAAGGCAAAUCUCAGUAAAUCAACUUAAAUUCCAGGAUUCCCCAAUAUAAAGGAGCACAGAGAACAACACAUUCUGCAGUUCAAUGCAG